AGCAACGUAAGCUAAAUUCAAGCUUUUGGGCCCAUACCCCAGCUAUGUUGGUGAGAACCCUUCCUUUGCUA
rnacentral:tRNA from 2 species